CCUACGGGAGGCAGCAGUGAGGAAUAUUGGUCAAUGGACGGAAGUCUGAACCAGCCAUGCCGCGUGCAGGAAGACGGCUCUAUGAGUUGUAAACUGCUUUUGUACGAGGGUAAACCUGGAUACGUGUAUCUAGCUGAAAGUAUCGUACGAAUAAGGAUCGGCUAACUCCGUGCCAGCAGCCGCGGUAAUACGGAGGAUCCAAGCGUUAUCCGGAUUUAUUGGGUUUAAAGGGUGCGUAGACGGGUUGAUAAGUUAGUGGUGAAAGUUUGCGGCUCAACCGUGAAAUUGCAACUGAUACUGGUGGUCUAGAGAAUAGUUGCGGUAGGCGGAAUGUAUGGUGUAGCGGUGAAAUGCUUAGAGAUCAUACAGAACACCGAUUGCGAAGGCAGCUUACCAAACUGCCUCUGACAUUGAGGCACGAAAGUGUGGGUAGCAAACAGGAUUAGAUACCCCGGUAGUC
rnacentral:rRNA from 1 species